rnacentral:lncRNA from 1 species
AGAAAAUAUUAAAAUCUAACAUUUGUGGAGUUUGUACAAGGUGCCAGGGACUGUGUGAAGUGAAAAGCUUCACAAGGAAAUAGGUUUCCUUAUGCUUCCAUAGGCACUCACUCUGUGCUAAACCGACUGUCAGCAUCUGCCUGUGGUUUGCCAGGUUCUUCUUGACUUUCCUUUCCUAGUCACCCAUUUUACACAUUACAGAAGCCAAGAAUGCCUCUCACCAAUCUUGGAUUUUACUGUGACGUGUUUCCUUGAGGGAGAGAAUACCCCCAGGACACCUUAAAGAAGACAGUUUAAUAAGGCAUUGUGUUGGGAGUGGGACCCCAUGAGACCAAUGCAAACAAGCUUCCUUAAGAAAUAUUGAAGGAAUGUUUGCACACCCAUGUUUAUUGCAGCAUUAUUCACAAUUGCCAAGAGGUGGAAGCAACCCAAAUGUCCAUUAAUGGAUGGAUGGAUAAAGAGAAUAUGGGACAUACAUACAAUGGAAUAUUAUUCAACUUUAAAAAAGAAGGAAAUUCUAUCAUAUGCUACAACAUGGAUGAACCUUGAGGACAUUAUGCUAAGUGAAAUGAGCCAGUCACAAAACAGACAAACAGUAUAUGAUUCUACUUAUAUGAGGUACCUAAAGUAGUCAGCCUUAUAGAAACAGAAAGUAGAAUCAUGACUGCCAGAGGCUGAGAGGAGGGGAAAUGGGGGGUUGUUGUUCAAAUGGGUAUAGAGUUUCAGUUUUGCAAGAAGAAAAAGUUCUAGAGAUCUGUUGCAUAAGAAUGUGAAUGUAGUCAACACUACUAAACUCUGCACAUGAAAAUGGUUAAGAUGGUGAAUUUUAUGUGUACAGUUCAUUGUUUUUAGCACAAUUAAAAAAAUACUGAAGGAGAUAACAUCUUAUUUCAUCCAGGUGACAAUCUCAUGAUAAGACUCUGAUCCAUCCAUCCAUCCAUCCAUCCAUUUUAGAAUUAGAAUCCAAAACAAAGGAAAUUGUCAUGGACGCUUGUAUUAAUACAUUUGUUUGAGUUAACAGGUAAAAUUAUACUUUUUUUGACUGCACGUAAGUUUGAUUUGGUAGUUGGUUUGACAAUAAGUUUUGGUUUUUCCAAACUUUAUUUUCCAAAUGGAUUAUGUGGGAGAUAUUUUCCACAAAUUGCAGCUAAAUCCUCAGCUCUAAGAUUAUGAUAAAAAUGUAUUUAAAGCGUGCAUCUAAUAUACUGGAAAAUAUAUCCUUUAUAACUACUUAAACAAUGUAACAGAAAUUUGGGGUAUUAAUUUAAUGAUGUGCAAGAGGAGAAUCAAACACGAGACCACGACUUAGGGGAAAAUAUAUUGGUCAUUCCAAUGAUCCUCCUCUCUGCUUACUAAUUUAGCUGAGAGUUGAGAGAAACGUCUUUAAACCUGUAAGAAUUUUCCAGGUAUUUCUCACACAAGAACAAUACAUCCAAGCACAGUAACGAUGGUCGAGAUUUAAUCUCCGUUGCUUUGAUCAACAGAAAACACUUACUAGGUGGCCCCUACUGACAGUGCAGGAAGUGUAAGACUCUUGCUGUCCCUUCUCCCAGUCUGUUUUGUCAUGUCUAGCCAGGCAACCCAGUAAGCUGCUUACAUUUGUCUUCCGCAGUCGGGGGCUUAUCCUCUUGGCCAUGAACUGUGAAGCCAGGCCUGAGGGAGCCUCUGGCCUGCCAGUUGGCUGUGCUGGUUAAGCCUGUUUGUUCAGUAACCGUCGGUCCUGGCUGAAUGGCAGUGGCUGCCUUACUCUGCCCACGGCCCCAGUACCCUAACCCUUCUGGUGGCUCACUGGCAUGGUCUCCACUUGGAAGACAGGUUACUGGGGUGCAGAGCAAGAAAUCAGAGUCAAGAAAUAAGGGGUCACAGUGGCCUAGUGGUUAAGUUCACAUGCUCCACUUCAGUGGCCUGGGGUUUGUGGGUUCGGAUCCUGGGUGCAGACCUACCCACCAUUCGUCAAGCCAUGCUGUGCAGCGUCCCAUGUACAAAAUAGAGGAAGACUGGCACACCUGGUAGCUCAGGGACACUCUUCCUCACAAAAAUAAAUAAAUUAGAAAAAAAGGAAAUCAAGGGCCAAAUCUGAAAGACAGACUCUAAGCCUGGAGGACGAUUCCCAGACCCCCAGCUCCCCUGUGCUCUCUCUGGGAGGCUGUGCGGCCGUGUGUGCGUGAACCCUGGGACUCUGGAGUCAGACUUGCUGGCUUUGAAUCCCAGCCCCUCCACUUCUGUGCAUCCCUGGGCAAGAGAGUUAGACAUAUUUGAUUCUGUCCUUGCCACGAGGACGUGAGUGUGAAGAUUUACGUGUGAGGCUAGACUGGGAUUGCCAGAGGUCUGAAGACAUAGGCGGUAGUCUUCUCUAGGUCUAGGGUGGUCAAGGCUCAUGAGUUAUUUCUUGAGCAGUAAUCUAGCCAUGUGAAUGCCACAAACUCCCCCACCGGCUUGUCCCUCGUUAUGGCAGGGAAGCGGGGAACGAUGGGGAGAGAGGGAUGGGGGCGGGAUGUUCUGAGUACAGAGAAAGGAGUGUCAUGGAGAACAUUCUGGGAUAGUUGCUGUGUGCACACAGUUCAGCAUCUCACCAUUAGAGGAUAGGAGACAGCUGGGGCACUUAGAGCCAAAGGAAGGGAGCUUCCUAGGAGCAUGAAUUCUGAUAAUAAAAGCAGGAAGUCAUCGGGCCCAAAUGUCUCUCUCUCUUUUGUCUCUUGGUGAAGUUCUUUCUUCGGGGCCGUCUCCUCCUGCGGUGAGGUUUGAAGCUGAGCCUUUGUCCUCUUUGCCAGAGCCCUGCACGUGGCUGUGCAGCUUGUGUGCCCCACAAACGGGUCUGGCUGAGGAGAAAAGUGGGAGCUGGUCGUCCAACUGUGUGCCCUGCUAUGGGGCUGAGUCUGCCAGGAGGACGGGGUACCACCCCUCCCCACCAGUCCCAUCAAAGCGCCUUCUACUCUCCCAGCCUAGCUCAUGGGACUGGGUCCCGAGUGCCUGUCCAAAUCUGGGCAGAGCCUCCAUCUGCUGGCCGGGACCCUACUCCUGACCUCCAAUUCUGUUGCCUUUGCUCCACCUUGUAGCCUUAAAUCUUCGUGAUUUCUCCUUUGCUGAGAAUUUGAAAGUAUCGUGCAUGCUGAUGAGCACGGGGUUGGGCACAUGCCCUCUCCUGGGAGGAGGGUGUGUUUUCAGAGAAUGCCUGGGAGAGGCCGUUCUCGACACCCAAAGGUGAACUGGUGAUGGAGGAGCAUCAGGCACCACGUGGGAGUCUUGUUUUGGAGAAGCAGAUCUCCUCUCUGUCUCCAGGUGGUUUACAGAAGUCCGGGUCCGUCCCCUGGACGUAAAGGGGUGUGUUCUCCUCUCUGUCUCCAGGUGGUUUACAGAAGUCCGGGUCCGUCCCCUGGACGUAAAGGGGUGUGUUCUCCUCUCUGUCUCCAGGUGGUUUACAGAAGUCGGGGUCCGUCCCCUGGACGUAAAGGGGUGUGUUCUCCUCUCUGUCUCCAGGUGGUUUACAGAAGUCCGGGUCUGUCCCCUGGACGUAAAGGGGUGUGUUCUCCGUAUAAAUGCGCAAAAACUUAGGAGGGGAAGAAUUCUCCAACAAAGGCCAGUGUAUUUGGGCAGCAGCUUCCUUGGGACUUUGGAUCCUUUCUUCCGAUGGCGUCUGAGGCUCUUCCGCGUCUCUCUCCUUUCUCUUCUUCCCUGUGAGUCCCGGCAGGAAGACUGCGUGCCGGGCAGCCGCUGGCCCCUUCCACUCUUGGCGCAGUGGAAGGCUCCUUUAUUUCCACGAUGAACAGGUGUGACUAAGAAGGAACUAAAUAGUUCCAUGUUCUCCUGGGGGUGGAUGAAACCCCCUAUUUCCUCCAGUUUCAGUGAAUGAAGAAAUUAGUAUUGAUGAAUAGAAUUCUGAAUUUGAAAUCAUAUCUUCAAACCGCAGAGAACAACACCUUUUUUCUUAUGAUUUGUUUGGAUAAUAACGAUCUGUUCUGUGAAUCACAAGGUAAAAAUUUGGCAUCCCUGAGUUUGCGAGUUUCAAUAGGUGGACCGUGUAAAUCUCGGCUUUCUCUCUUGUUUGUGCUGAAAUUGAAUUUUGCUACUGUAUUAACACUAGGUCCUUACGUACCGUUGUUAUAAAUCACAUGUUGGAGAAGGAGAGGACUGCCAACGUGCCGAAUGGCGUAAAAUGCGGCUCCAUCCUCACGAAGCCUUCUUGGGAUGCGUAGAUAAAGGAUUUGGGAGAAAUGCCCUGUGCGGUUCCAGGCUUGUCAGGCAAAUCCAUAUCCCAUAUAACAGUUGGAUGACAGGGUCCCAGGAGAGGUUUCACAGCUGCUGAGCCUCCCCCAAGAGUGACAUUGGGAGAGAAGCCGGGCUGGCUCCUGAUCAAAUGGCCAUCCAGCCGGCAGCCACUGAAACCUGCUGCUGGCAGGAACGCCCUGCCUCCCCCAGAGGGUGCUGAGGGCGCAGAACCACCAGCUUGGGCACCUGCUUGGCCACAUUCACUUAGACGUCCUGGACCAUGAGUAAUAAAUGUGGUUAACAACCUGGCUGGCAAGAUCCUGCCCACAGCAGAAAUAAAACAGAGUCGUGCCACCAGGAAAGGAAAGCUUUCUAACUCCAUCGACUUCCUCAGCCGAGCCACCUGAAGCAGAGAAUGCACCAGGAAGGCCCCACCCCGACACACACCCUUGGCCGCCCUCGGCGCAGAGAGCUCGUGGGGCCUGCAGGUGACCCAGCCUGUCCCUGAGGCCCCCAGCUCACUCGAGGGUGUGACUGAGUUCCUAACAUUCAGCGGAAGUGGGGAAAUCCUGGUGUUUCCUCUCCAUAAUGGAGCAAUCACACAGUGGGUGUGUUUGCGGGUCUGGGAGUUUUCGGGGGAGGGAGCAUGACUUGGAUGAAGGCAGGGAUGCAGGCCAGGGAGAGGGAAGCUAAUAGCUAUUUAACCAUUUUUAAACAAACCGUGAAAUCAUAUUGACUAAAGGCCUACUGGGCAUUCUCUGCAUGUGAACAUCUUCUAGCCAAGUCAUUCCCCAAACGGAGAGUUUGUUAGCAUAGACUUAGGCGUUGAAGUUGUUGGGAGCCGGCGGGCUCCGCAUCAGCCUGUGAUUCCACCCUGGCCUCGUUGGCACACUCGUGUCUCCCCUCUGACAACAGCUGUCAGGGUUUCUGAC